rnacentral:ncRNA from 1 species
UUAAUUUGACUCAACACGGGAAAAUCUCACCCGGCCCGGACACAGUGAGGAUUGACAGAUUGAGAGCUCUUUCUUGAUUCUGUGGGUGGUGGUGCAUGGCCGUUCUUAGUUGGUGGAGCGAUUUGUCUGGUUAAUUCCGAUAACGAACGAGACUCUGGCUUGCUAAAUAGUUACGCGACCAUCCCGGUCAGGAAAACUAUUUAGAUUUUUUCAAAGAUUUUACUGGCCCAUAAUUUGAAUGGGAAAGAAAAAUUGCAAAGAAAUAGUUAACCAGGUAUGGGUAACUGAUUCUUCAAUCAGUUAGUUAUACAGAUCUAAAUAUACUUACACAACUCU